AUUGAACGCUGGCGGCAUGCCUUACACAUGCAAGUCGAACGGUAACAGGCCGCAAGGUGCUGACGAGUGGCGAACGGGUGAGUAAUGCAUCGGAACGUGCCCAGUCGUGGGGGAUAACUGCUCGAAAGAGCAGCUAAUACCGCAUACGACCUGAGGGUGAAAGCGGGGGACCGUAAGGCCUCGCGCGAUUGGAGCGGCCGAUGUCAGAUUAGGUAGUUGGUGGGGUAAAGGCCUACCAAGGCAACGAUCUGUAGUUGGUCUGAGAGGACGAGCAGCCACACUGGGACUGAGACACGGCCCAGACUCCUACGGGAGGCAGCAGUGGGGAAUUUUGGACAAUGGGCGCAAGCCUGAUCCAGCAAUGCCGCGUGCAGGAAGAAGGCCUUCGGGUUGUAAACUGCUUUUGUCAGGGAAGAAAUCUUCUGGGCUAAUACCCCGGGAGGAUGACGGUACCUGAAGAAUAAGCACCGGCUAACUACGUGCCAGCCGCCGCUGUAAUAC
rnacentral:rRNA from 1 species